rnacentral:rRNA from 1 species
CAGUCGCCACGGUAAUACGAAGGGUGCAAGCGUUAAUCGGAAUUACUGGGCGUAAAGCGUGCGUAGGUGGUGGUUUAAGUCCGUUGUGAAAGCCCUGGGCUCAACCUGGGAAUUGCAGUGGAUACUGGGUCACUAGAGUGUGGUAGAGGAUAGUGGAAUUUCCGGUGUAGCAGUGAAAUGCGUAGAGAUCGGAAGGAACAUCUGUGGCGAAGGCGACUAUCUGGGCCAACACUGACACUGAGGCACGAAAGCGUGGGGAGCAAACAGGAUUAGAUACCCCUGUAGUCCCUGUCUCUUAUAC